rnacentral:misc_RNA from 1 species
CUUUUUCUAUUUGCUUAGAGAACCCUACCACCGCGUUCGAAGGGCUGGUGAGUAUCUCCUUCUUCGUUUAUCAAUCGAUUGAAUCGAUCUUUGAAGAAAAUGCAGAAUCAGAGGCUGAAGCAGCAACAACAGCAAGCUUUGAUGCAACAAGCGCUUCUUCAACAACAGUCUCUCUAUCAUCCUGGCCUCUUAGCUCCUCCUCAGAUUGAGCCAAUACCUAGUGGGAAUCUGCCUCCUGGGUUUGAUCCAACCACCUGCCGCAGUGUGUUUGUUGGGAAUAUUCACCCGCAAGUGACUGAACCUCUUCUUCAGGAAGUUUUCUCUAGUACUGGUCUGGUGGAAGGAUGUAAGCUGAUAAGGAAGGAAAAGUCAUCUUAUGGUUUCAUCCACUACUAUGAUCGUAGAUCAGCUGCACUUGCUAUAGUCACUCUUAAUGGAAGGCAUCUGUUUGGGCAGCCUAUUAAAGUUAAUUGGGCAUUUGCCAGUGGACAGAGGGAGGACACUUCAAGUCACUUUAAUAUAUUUGUUGGUGAUCUGAGCCCUGAAGUUACUGAUGCAAUGCUAUUUGCUUGCUUCUCUGUUUACCCUGGUUGCUCUGAUGCAAGGGUAAUGUGGGAUCAAAAGACUGGGCGUUCUAGAGGUUUUGGUUUUGUUUCUUUCCGUAACCAACAGGAUGCUCAAAGUGCCAUCAAUGAUUUAACAGGCAAAUGGCUUGGUAGUAGGCAGAUACGUUGCAACUGGGCUACCAAAGGUGCUAACUCGAAUGAUGACAAACAGAGUUCUGAUGCCAAAAGUGUUGUGGAAUUAACAAAUGGUUCAUCAGAAGAUGGUAAAGAGGCAGCGAAUAGUGAUGCUCCUGAAAAUAACCCACAGUACACCACUGUUUAUGUGGGCAAUAUUGCUCCUGAGGUAACACAGAUUGAUCUCCAUCGCUACUUUCAUGCCCUUGGUGCAGGAGUGAUAGAGGAAAUUCGAAUUCAGCGUGAUAAAGGAUUUGGUUUUGUAAGAUACAAUACUCAUGCUGAGGCAGCUUUAGCGAUUCAAAUGGGAAAUACCCACUCAGUUCUCGGUGGAAGGCAGAUUAAGUGUUCGUGGGGCAACAAGCCAACUCCACCUGGAACAACCUCGAACCCACUUCCUCCACCAGCUCCCACACCAUUAGGUAUUUCGGCCACUGACCUUUUGGCUUAUGAGAGACAGCUAGCUAUGAGCAAGAUGGGUGGUGUCCCGGGCCUCAUGGGUCAAUAUCCUUUGAAGCAAGGAUCGAUGGGGAUGGCCUCUGGAGCAAGCCAAGCUAUAUAUGAUGGCGGUUUCCAGAAUGUUGCUGCACAACAGCUCAUGUAUUAUCAGUGAUGUGGCUCUGGGGUUGUCGUUGCCUUUCUACCUAGUUUACCUUUAAUAACGCUUGUUUUUUUCUUUUCAUGUUCUCUUUUUUUUUUGUUCUUAAUAUUUAGGCAUCAUGCCUAGUUAGAUGUGAGUGCCACGUGUAUCAAUACGUAUAAUGUAUGCUUUGUGUCCCAGUUUAUUAGUAGGAAUGAGGGAAUACUACGAGGUUUGCUCCAUUAUUGUUGUUCAUACAUGCUUUGAUGUUGUGACAGAUCUAU